rnacentral:rRNA from 1 species
ACGAACGCUGGCGGCGCGCUUCACACAUGCCAGUCGCACGGAAAGGCCCUGCUUUUGUGGGGUGCUCGAGUGGCGAACGGGUGAGUAACACGUGAGUAACCUGCCCUUGACUUUGGGAUAACUUCAGGAAACUGGGGCUAAUACCGGAUAGGAGCUCCUGCUGCAUGGUGGGGGUUGGAAAGUUUCGGCGGUUGGGGAUGGACUCGCGGCUUAUCAGCUUGUUGGUGGGGUAGUGGCUUACCAAGGCUUUGACGGGUAGCCGGCCUGAGAGGGUGACCGGCCACAUUGGGACUGAGAUACGGCCCAGACUCCUACGGGAGGCAGCAGUGGGGAAUAUUGCACAAUGGGCGGAAGCCUGAUGCAGCAACGCCGCGUGCGGGAUGACGGCCUUCGGGUUGUAAACCGCUUUCGCCUGUGACGAAGCGUGAGUGACGGUAAUGGGUAAAGAAGCACCGGCUAACUACGUG